GUCGGGUCUCAGGGAAGCUUGCAAAGAGAAUAGCUGAACCGAGGAGUCGGCGCUUAUAGCGUUGACCCUGCAGCCACUGGAUGGACCUAGAGAAUGACCACAGACUACUGGGAGGAAGUAAUAUCGGUCAAUACCAGCUGUGCCAGACAUGAUGUCUCAACUGGAGCAGAGCUCUGCAGCCUCAGGAGACCAAGGGGAUACUUGGUGACCUGCUGACUACACUGGGCCUCUUUUCUCCUGGAAGGGUCAGCUCUCAC